UACGGAGGGUGCAAACGUUGCUCGGAAUCAUUGGGCGUAAAGCGCACGUAGGCGGCCUGUUAAAUCGGGUGUGAAAGUCCAGGGCUCAACCCUGGAAGGCCGGUGGAAACUGUCGGGCUAGAGUCCGGAAGAGGCGAGUGGAAUUCCCGGUGUAGCGGUGAAAUGCGCAGAUAUCGGGAGGAACACCAAUGGCGAAGGCAGCUCGCUGGGACGGUACUGACGCUGAGACGCGAAAGCGUGGGGAGCAAACAGG
rnacentral:rRNA from 1 species